CGAGCGUUAUCCGGAAUCAUUGGGUUUAAAGGGUCCGUAGGCGGGCCUGUAAGUCAGGGGUGAAAGUUUGUGGCUCAACCAUAAAAUUGCCUUUGAUACUGCAGGUCUUGAGUCAUGGUGGGGUUGCCGGAACAUGUGGUGUAGCGGUGAAAUGCAUAGAUAUCACAUAGAACACCGAUCGCGAAGGCAGGUGACCAACCAUGUACUGACGCUGAUGGACGAAAGCGUGGGUAGCGAACGGGAUUAGAUACCCCGGUAGUCCACGCCGUAAACGAUGGAUACUAGCUGUGGGGACUUCGGUCUCCGUGGCCAAGCGAAAGUGAUAAGUAUCCCACCUGGGGAGUACGUUCGCAAGAAUGAAACUCAAAGGAAUUGACGGGGGCCCGCACAAGCGGUGGAGCAUGUGGUUUAAUUCGAUGAUACGCGAGGAACCUUACCAGGGCUUAAAUGCAGGCUGCAUGGGGUAGAGAUACCCCUUUCUUCGGACCGCCUGCAAGGUGCUGCAUGGUUGUCGUCAGCUCGUGCCGUGAGGUGUCAGGUUAAGUCCUAUAACGAGCGCAACCCCUACCGUUAGUUGCCAGCAUGUCAAGAUGGGGACUCUAACGGGACUGCCGGUGCAAACCGUGAGGAAGGUGGGGACGACGUCAAAUCAUCACGGCCCUUACGUCCUGGGCUACACACGUGCUACAAUGGCCGGUACAGAGGGAAGCCACCCCGCAAGGGGGCGCGGAUCUACAAAACCGGUCACAGUUCGGAUCGGGGUCUGCAACUCGACCCCGUGAAGCUGGAAUCGCUAGUAAUCGGAUAUCAGCCAUGAUCCGGUGAAUACGUUCCCGGGCCUUGUACACACCGCCCGUCAAGCCAUGGAAGCCGGGAGUGCC
rnacentral:rRNA from 1 species